CCUACGGGUGGCAGCAGUGAGGAAUAUUGGUCAAUGGGCUUACGCCUGAACCAGCCAAGUCGCGUGAGGGAAGACUGCCCUAUGGGUUGUAAACCUCUUUUGUCAGGGAGCAAUUGGCGCUACGUGUAGCGUUAUCGAGAGUACCUGAAGAAAAAGCAUCGGCUAACUCCGUGCCAGCAGCCGCGGUAAUACGUAGGAUGCGAGCGUUAUCCGGAUUUAUUGGGUGUAAGGGGUGCGUAGGCGGAAUGCCAAGUCAGCGGUAAAAUCGCGGGGCUCAACCUCGAUCCGCAGUUGAAACUGGCGGUCUUGAGUGGGGGAGAGGUAUGCAGAAUGCGUGGUGUAGCGGUGAAAUGCAUAGAGAUCACGCAGAACACCGAUUGCGAAGGCAGCAUACCGGCGCCCAACUGACGCUGAGGCACGAAAGCGUGGGGAGCGAACAGGAUUAGAUACCCUUGUAGUC
rnacentral:rRNA from 1 species